UACAUAACGUUACCCUGACCAGAUGGACUAUAAAUACAUAACGUUACCCUGACCAGAUGGACUAUAAAUACAUAACGUUACCCUUACCAGAUGGACUAUAAAUACAUAACGUUACCCUGACCAGAUGGACUAUAAAUACAUAACGUUACCCUGACCAGAUGGACUAUAAAUACAUAACGUUACCCUGACCAGAUGGUCUAUAAAUACAUAACGUUACCCUGACCAGAUGGACUAUAAAUACAUAACGUUACCCUGACCAGAUGGACUAUAAAUACAUAACGUUACCCUGACCAGAUGGACUAUAAAUACAUAACGUUACCCUGACCAGAUGGACUAUAAAUACAUAAUGUUACCCUGACCAGAUGGACUAUAAAUACAUAACGUUACCCUGACCAGAUGGACUAUAAAUACAUAACGUUACCCUGACCAGAUGGACUAUAAAUACAUAACGUUACCCUGACCAGAUGGACUAUAAAUACAUAAUGUUACCCUGACCAGAUGGACUAUAAAUACAUAACGUUACCCUGACCAGAUGGACUAUAAAUACAUAACGUUACCCUGACCAGAUGGACUAUAAAUACAUAACGUUACCAAUUAGUUUACCCUGACCAGAUGGACUAUAAAUACAUAACGUUACCCUGACCAGAUGGACUAUAAAUACAUAACGUUACCAAUUAGUUUACCCUGACCAGAUGGACUAUAAAUACAUAACGUUACCCUGACCAGAUGGACUAUAAAUACAUAACGUUACCAAUUAGUUUACCCUGUUGUUGCUUGUGUCUGUAAGAAUUUUUUGAAGAUAAAUACACAAUGCAGAUGACUAAAAGUCAAUAGGACUAAAGGUCAAAGGGACUAAAGGUCAAGAGGACUAAAGGUCAAAGGGACUAAAAGUCAAGAGGACUAAAGGUCAAAGGGAUUAAUGAUCAAUGUGAAGUGUUUGUUCUGAAACAGGGGAUUAACGAUCAAUGGGAAUAGUGUUUGUUCUGUAAUAGGGGAUUAAUGAUCAAUGGGUCAGAGACAUGGGAGGAAUGUGUCUAUACAGUGGGCCUGAAACAGGAUACUUGUUAUUUGGCCAUUGGCCCAGUUUUAUUGCAAGGAAUUUUAAUUGGUCAACCACAGGCUGGGGCUGGGUUCUAAAACUACAUCCUGUCCCUUUGUUCUGGGGAGAUAAUCACUGAGGAGAGAAUCACCGGGGAGAUAAUCACUGAGGAGAUAAUCACUGAGGAGAGAAUCACUGGGGAGAUAAUCACCGAGGAGAUAAUCACUGAGGAGAUAAUCACUGAGGAGAUAAUCACUGAGGAGAUAAUCACUGGGGAGAUAAUCACCGAGGAGAUAAUCACUGUGGAGAUAAUCACCAGGGAGAUAAUCACUGAGGAGAGAAUCACUGAGGAGAUAAUCACUGGGGAGAUAAUCACUGAGGAGAGAAUCACUGGGGAGAUAAUCACUGAGGAGAGAAUCACUGAGGAGAGAAUCACUAAGGAGAGAAUCACUGGGGAGAUAAUCACUGGGGAGAGAAUCACUGAGGAGAGAAUCACUAAGGAGAGAAUCACGGGAGAAAACAUCUACCUCCAAGCAAAUCUACAAUUUGUCCUCUUUGAAUAAACCUGUUUUUCUCCCCUGGUUUGCUCUGGGGUCUGUGUUAUUGAAGAGUAACAUCAACUGUUAACAUCUCUCUUGGAGUGAUUAUAUGUUAUCAUUUUUUGCUAAAUAUAUACCGGAGGAGAGUGGAAAACCGACUUGAGCGCACGUGAAAAAAUGGCGCCGCAUCAACCUCUCUCUUCAAUCUAACGUUUAAUGGAUGAUGCGAUGGAAGUCAUUCUGAAUGGAUUUCGACAUCCCAGAGAAGACAAUAGAACGUUCUAUAUGUUCAGCAAGUAAAGCAUCGUAACGUGACCGCUGCAAGCUCCUUGUAGUUGCCCUUGUUAGAGGAACGUCCCCUCUCGUCGUGUCCUCUGAAAGCCAGUUCUUUCAGGCCCAAAAACACAGUGGCGUUGAGAAACAGUAGUUGCCCUUGUUAGAGGAACGUCCCCUCUCGUCGUGUCCUCUAAAAGCCAGUUCUUUCAGGCCCAAAAACACAGUGGCGUUGAGAAGCAGUUUGAGAACAUCUCUGUUUCUUUUUGCUUCCUCGUUGUGUUGAGCAGUUUGAGUUCGCGGACCUUCGUCAUGAUCGAUGCGGCUUUUUCCCCAGAAGCUUGAACCUGAUGUGGGCAUUUAUACGCUCCCUGCUUUUGUUUUGCCGUUUAGCUGAACGAUCGAUGUUCAGGUCAACGUACCCCUCAUUCGCAGAAAGCUCAGACUUUCCAAAUAGCAAGCAAGGCCAGCAAUACAGGCGGCUUGAUGAAAGGCUCCCUGUUAAACAGCUAUACUAUUGAUACCAGGUGGUAUUGAUGAAAGGCUCAAGGUUAACCAGCUAUACUUUUGAUACCAGGUGGUAUUGAUGAAAGGCUCCCUGUUAACCAGCUGUACCUUUGAUACCAGGUGGUGGUAUUGAUGAAAUGCUCCCUGUUAACCAGCUGUACCUUUUGAUACCAGGUGGUGUUGAUGAAAGACUCCCUGUUAACCAGCUGUACCUUUUGAUACCAGGUGGUAUUGAUGAAAGACUCCCUGUUAACCAGCUAUACAAUUGAUACCAGGUGGUAUUGAUGAAAGGCUCCCUGUUAACCAGCUAUACUAUUGAUACCAGGUGGUAUUGAUGAAAGGCUCCCUGUUAACCAGCUGUACCUUUUGAUACCAGGUGGUAUUGAUGAAAGGCUCCCUGUUAACCAGCUGUACCUUUUGAUACCAGGUGGUAUUGAUGAAAGGCUCCCUGUUAACCAGCUGUACUUUUGAUACCAGGUGGUAUUGAUGAAAGGCUCCCUGUUAACCAGCUAUACCUUUUGAUACCAGGUGGUAUUGAUGAAAGACUCCCUGUUAACCAGCUAUACCUUUUGAUACCAGGUGGUAUUGAUGAAAGACUCCCUGUUAACCAGCUAUACCUUUUGAUACCAGGUGGUAUUGAUGAAAGACUCCCUGUUAACCAGCUAUACCUUUUGAUACCAGGUGGUAUUGAUGAAAGGCUCCCUGUUAACCAGCUAUACCUUUUGAUACCAGGUGGUAUUGAUGAAAGACUCCCUGUUAACCAGCUGUACCUUUUGAUACCAGGUGGUAUUGAUGAAAGACUCCCUGUUAACCAGCUGUACCUUUUGAUACCAGGUGGUAUUGAUGAAAGACUCCCUGUUAACCAGCUAUACCUUUUGAUACCAGGUGGUAUUGAUGAAAGACUCCCUGUUAACCAGCUAUACCUUUUGAUACCAGGUGGUAUUGAUGAAAGACUCCCUGUUAACCAGCUAUACCUUUUGAUACCAGGUGGUAUUGAUGAAAGACUCCCUGUUAACCAGCUGUACCUUCUGAUACCAGGUGGUGUUGAACGCCCUCCUCUUUUCAUCCUUCUUUAUGUAACAGAGGACGACCCUCUGUCUUAAUUCACACCUUUUCCGUGUACCCCAGACAAUGAAAGGGGUUCUUCAACAAAAAGUCCACAACAUUUUCAGUAGUGUUGGCAGAGAAAGGUGCACACUCGAGCUAGUAGCUAGCUAGCCACUGCUACUUGCUACUGAAAUUAGUGAGUUAUUUCAAUUUGCCUUACUAACUGGACACAAAAAUGAAGUUCUAAAACCAAGAAAACUAUUUUUAAUCUAAAUAAAUUAAACCUCCUCCAUGUCCUCCUGUAAUUUGAAGAAACUAAUUUGAAUUUAAUAAUAUCAAAAAAAUGCUCAACUAUCACUUUUCAAUCUCUCCAAUAAUGUCACCAACUCACCAAGCUUCUCAACACAUAGAUCCCCCCCCCAUAAUGCUCUGCGGCACAACCCCAAUGCUACACACCAGGUUCAUUCUCUGAUCCUAAUUAUAUGAUUGGAUGGACAACAUGUUAGUUCACUACUGAGGCCGUACUCUGUAAGUUGUCAUAAUUACCAUGUAGGUCUAUGGAAGGGGUUGAGAACCAUGAGCCUCCUAGGGUUUGUAUUGAAGUCAAUGUACCCAGAGGAGGAUGGAAGCUAGCUGUCCUCCGGCUACAUCAUGGUGCUACUCUACAGAGUGCUGUUGACAGGCUACUGUAGACCUUCUUUGCAAAACAGUGUGUUUGAAUCAAUUAUUUGGUGACAUAUCAAUAUAUUUAGCAUAGUUUAAUCUGAAAAUUAUAACUUGUUUUGUGUUUCACACCUGAACACCGGCUCGGAGGAGCCUCCACUGCAGUAUACCCAGAAUGCACCGCGUGGCCCAUUGACAACAUCUCCUCAAAGUAUCUUUGAGCCAUGGUAGCCAUGGUGGUUUCCACUUUUGUCUUGCGACAUCCGUAUCCCAUUGAAAUUGAAAUGAAAAGGGUUAGGGUUAUAGAGGGCGAUGGGCGUGGUGGCAGAACAAGGGGCAGUUCUCAUAGAACACAUGCAAACCGGCCUCUAUUUACAUGCUGCUUAUGAGUGCAUUUCACACUACUACUUUAGGAUUAUAAUAGGAUUUUAAGGCUUGUAUGAAUGUCCUGCUUAAUACAAUGUUUGUCAUCAAUCAACUGCAUUAUACUUAAUUAAACACUUCAACUUCAA